UACGGAGGGUGCAAGCGUUGUCCGGAAUCACUGGGCGUAAAGGGCGCGUAGGCGGCUCAUGAAGGCUGUGGUGAAAGUCCGGGGCUCAACCUCGGAUCGGCCGUGGCGACUCGUGGGCUGGAGCACUGUAGAGGCGGGUGGAAUUCCGGGUGUAGCGGUGGAAUGCGUAGAGAUCCGGAAGAACACCAGUGGCGAAGGCGGCCCGCUGGGCAGUGGCUGACGCUGAAGCGCGACAGCGUGGGGAGCAAACGAGG
rnacentral:rRNA from 1 species